UACUCCGUGUCGUGUCUUGGGACCGAGAGAAUCGGUUCCUCGGCUCGUGGCAAAGCGCCAAGUGAGAAAAAGGCAAUCUGGCGUGGAGGGCCACCUCCUACACAUCACAGGUGCCCUAAUUUCUAAUAAACCUCAAAUUUAGGCCCAAAAUCCAGCUUAUUAUUAUAGUCCAUAACUGGCACAGCCAACAGUUGGACUCCCUUAAUCCCUUUCCAUCCUGGUGGGCUGGGCCAAAGUUUCCGUAGCUUUUCUUCGCCGGCCUUUCCUCUUCUGAGCUGUCAAUUCUCAACGAUCACAAAUAACCGGCCUCGGCCUUCCAAUGCAGGAGCGGCGCCGCAGCCGCCGCCUAAGCUCGACGCGCCGCGGCGGUGGAUGCGACGCCACACCCCCGGCCUUCUCGCCGCCAAUCUCCUCCGCGCCUCGUCGCUCCUCAGACCCCCGUCCGUCCUCGCCGCCCGCGCGGCCUUGCUCCACCAUGCGCCGGACGACGCCCACCGCCUGCUCGACGAAACGCCGCGCGGGAGGGCGGCCGCCAUCGUACGUGCCCUCACGUCCGCACCGUCUUCCUCCUCCGGUGACACGGCCUGCAUCGCGUGCCUCCACUGCGCGGCCCUCAAGUCAGGCGCCGUGCUGGACCCGCCAGUGCGCACGUCCCUGCUCGCGGCGUACGCCAGGGCCGGCCGCGGCGCGGGAGCGGGAGCCGGAGCAGGCGCCGCCCUGGCGCUCUUCCGCGAGGCCGUUGCGCCCGACGUGAUCCUGUGGAACGCGGCCGUCGGCGCCCUGACGACGAGCUGCCGGUACGACGACGCCGCGGCUCUGUUCCGGCGGAUGGCGCGCGAGCUCGGGGAGUUUGACUCCACCACCGUGGUCGUCAUGCUGUCGGGGGCGUCCCGCGCGGGUAACCUUCGGCGUGGAAUGGAGCUCCAUGGCAUGGCGGCCAAGAGUUGUCUCGGCGCUCAUUGUCUCGGCGCGUGGAACGCUCUCGUUGACAUGUAUGCAAAGUGUGGUGAGUUUAGGUCCGCAGAGGUUGUGUUUCAUAGCAUGCCGUGCAGGGACACCACCUCAUGGAACUCUGUCAUAAGUGGGAGCAUUUUUAACGGGCUCGCUGAGGUGUCAGCGUGCUACUUCAGGGAAAUGAGUUGCUCCAUCUUCCAGCCAGAUGAGGUGAGCCUCUCUUCUGUCCUCUCAGCCUGCUCUCGUCUGGAUGAUCUCUUCUCCUUUGGGGAGUCUGUGCAUAGCUGUGCAGUCAAACUCGGUUAUGAGGACACCGCGUCUUGCUCAGUAGCGAAUUCUCUCGUGACGUUCUACUCUGAGUUUGGAAUGCCAGAGGCUGCGAAGAAGGUCUUCGCCAGCAAUUUGAACAGGAAUUUGGUAUCAUGGAAUGCUAUGAUCAAGGGUCUAGUCCAGAAUGAAAGAGUAACCGAGGCCCUUGCUGUUUUGAGGCAAAUGAGAUUGGAGAACCAGCCAGAUGUCGCCACUUUGGUGACCAUAGUUUCAGGCUGUGCUGAUCAAGGCCUACUUUCUGAAGGGGAAACACUCCAUGGAUACGUAAUCAGAAAAGGACUUCUUCGUGAGGAGCCUUCCAUGGGAAAUAGCUUACUCGAUCUGUAUUUGAAAUGUGACGAACCAUCUAAUGCAGGCCUGUUGUUUAUGACAAUGCCAAGAAGGGACUUGAUAUCGUGGAACACAAUGAUUUCUGGUUACUCAAGAUAUGGCCCACUGAGAGAAGAGGCUCAGUUAAUGUUCAAAGGAUUACUUUCUGAAGGUUCAUCGUGCAGCUUGGCCACUAUGCUAGCUGUCAUACCAUCAUGCUCCAUUCCGGAAGAACUUAGCUUUGGGAAAGCACUUCACUCUUUCAGCCUGAAGUGUGGAUUUACAUCUAGUGGGGUUUCGGCUGUUAAUGCUUUGAUACACAUGUAUAUGAGCUGUGGUGAUCCACUGGCCGCCUUUUCGCUUAUUGAAAGAAUAAUACCGGUAUCAGAUAUCAUUUCCUGGAAUACGGUCAUAGUUGGGUGUCUGCAAAAUGAACUCCAUAAAGAUGCAUUGGAAAUCUUUCGGUUCAUGUAUUGUUCUUUGGCCAUAAACCCUGACAGUAUUACAAUAGUUAGUGUCUUAUCAGCAUGUGGAGAUCUUAAUCUACUAGCACUUGGGAAAUCCAUCCACUGCAUGAUCCUGAAGCACUUGUUUGCUUCCAAUUUGAGGGUGAAAAAUUCAUUAUUGACCAUGUAUUUUCGCUUUGGAGAUACUAGAAGUGCUGAGUUAGUCUUUUAUAGCAUGGGAGACACAAAUUUGUGCUCCUGGAACUGUAUGAUCUCUGGCUUUGCACAGAAUAACAAAGGCUGGAGAGCAUUGCAGUUCUAUCAGAAGAUGGAGGAUUUCGAACCUAAUGAAAUAUCUGUUGUCGGUAUCAUCUGUGCUUGCACACAGCUUGGUGGUUAUAGACAAGGAAAGAGCAUACACGGGCAUGUGUUCAGGUCUGUUCUGCACAAUAAUGUUUUUAUUUCAGCAUCACUUGUUGAUAUGUAUUGCAAGUGUGGGAGACUGGACAUUGCUGUCAGAGUAUUUGAAGCUUCUGCCGAAAAAUCGAUUGCCGGGUGGAACUCCUUGAUAUCAGCUUUUGGAUUCCAUGGCCAUGGGAUGAAAUCUAUAGAUCUUUUCUGGAAGAUGCAUGAUUCUGGAAUGAAAGCCACGAAAAGCACAUUUAUUGCUCUACUGUCAGCUUGCAGUCACUCUGGACUUGUUGAUGAAGGGUGGAAGUAUUAUUGCCUUAUGUCAGAAAAGUUUGGGAUCACACCAGCCCCAGAGCACCAUGUCUGCAUUGUAGACAUGCUUGGGCGGGCUGGUCGGCUGCAGGAAGCGCACAAGUUUGUGGAGAGCUUGCCGUCUCAACAAACACACGGAAUUUGGGGCGCACUGUUAAAUGCUUGCAGUAGCAGGAGUGAACUCAAGAUGGGCGAAUCCAUCGCAAAACAUUUGCUACAUUUGGAGCCUGGAAAUAGCGGUUAUUAUGUAACUGCAGCAAACCUUUAUGCAUACAAAGACAUGUGGAGUGGUGUGGCCCAAGUUAGGAGCGUUUUGCAAGAUAAAGGGCUGGUGAAGCCCCAUGGUCGUAGCACUGUUGGUUAAGCGGUGGGUCAUAAACCAUGGAAGCCAUACAAUAUGACGAAUCGCCAUGAAUGUUUGUCAACUUCCCAAGUUCUUCUCACAAGCCGUCUCAAUUAUGAGCUGCAAGUUGCACGCUGGUAUAGUGGUAUCUUAUUCCAUACAACUGCGGAGGAAAAACUCCAGGUCGUGUAUGUUUCACUUCACUAAUUGAAAAUUACUGCCAGAACAUGGUAAUUUUAUAAAGGGUGCCUUCCUCCAACAUGGUGUGCUGGGCAGCUGGAUGGUGUUUGGGCGAAGAAGAUGAAGGGCAGAGAGGAACGGAGACGGCCUUUGGGCGGCGGCUGCAGAUAAUAUAGGAACUGCUGGCAGCCGAUACUGCUUGCGAGUUACCCCCGCCAAAGCUGCUGGCCGCUCAAGCGCCGGUUGUCAUUCCUGGUGCCUCCAUGGGCCACGAGGGCACCACACAGCCACAACUGCAUGCAUGCCUUCUCAUGAUCCAAGGAAAGGAAGAAGACAGGCUGAGAUGUGUGAGGAGAAGAAAAGGAAGGGCGGUGGGCCCACCAAGAAACAGGAGCAUACGUGCAAAUAUGCGAAACCGGAGAGCAGAAGCAAGCAGUUGUCAAUUGUCAUCGGGAGGAGGAGGAGGAGGAGGAGAAGAAGAUAGGGCCUGCCUGCAAUAGAAUCCCUCUGGAAUCUGGAUGAUGGAUGGCUGUCUUUUGAACACACCGCCACCCAAUCACUAUCGUAGUAUCUCGUCCCACUCUGCACCACUCAAACCCGCUGCUCCCCUCUGCAUUUCACCCGUCCUCCACCUCCUCCCAGACACCACACCAGCGCUCCCUUUCUGGCUGCAGCUUCCCCGGACAGCUAGCUGCCUGCCUCUCACUCGAGAGUCACAGAGACCACCCCUAGCUAGGGAUGGCCGCAGUGAUGAAGGCUCUUGCUGUCGCCUCGCCGGUGUCGGCACGGGCAGCACAGCAUCCCCGUCGGUACCACGUCGCAGGUGUCCCUAGCCAGCAGCAUCAACAGCAGAACUUGAGCCUGCACCUGCAGUCGUUGUUCCACGGCGUAUCGUCGGUUCAGUGCCCUGGGCGAUGGCGGCGGGCGCAGGUGGUGGCGAUGGCGGGCCGGCCUGCGAUCCAGUUCAUCCAGGGCACGGACGAGCAGACGGUCCCGGACGUGCGGCUGACCAAGUCCCGCGACGGCACCAACGGCGUGGCCGUCUUCGCGUUCGAGCGUCCGUCGGUGUUCGACUCGUCGGCGGAGCUGGGCGACAUCACGGGCUUUUACAUGGUGGACGACGAGGGCGUGCUGCAGUCCGUGGACGUGAGCGCCAAGUUCGUGAACGGCAAGCCGGCGCGGAUCGAGGCCAAGUACGUGAUGCGCACGCCUCAGGAGUGGGACCGCUUCAUGCGCUUCAUGGAGCGGUACUCCCGGGCCAACGGCCUCCAGUUCGUCAGGAACUGAAUGAAAGCAACUCAUGAGCCCGACGAGCCUGCCUGCCUGCCUGCUUUGAGCUCUCUCUCUCUCGCUGCCUGUCUGUCUCUUUCUCCUCUGCGCCCCUGUGUGAGUUGGAAUGCUUUUGGAUUAACGGCCGGAUUGGAAGAGGACUAAUCGUACAGUCUGACAAGUAUUGUGCA